CCGAUAGAUGCAAGACAAGCUGUCAUCUGUGUCACUAUGUAAAUACUAAAUUUCACAAAGUGUUGAUGCGAAAGUUGAAGUUUUCGUGAAAACCGGCCAAAUUUUCAACGAAAGCAACGUAAGUUGAAACAUAUCGAAGCAUAACUUCCAUUGUUUGUUAUUUAGAAAGUUGGGCUACAAUCAGCAAGCAGCGCUAAGGUACAAUAUUUCAUCAAAAAUUGUCCAGCGAUACAGUGUACAUCUCGCCCUACACCAUGAUAGUGCUCUUGACUCACAAGAUGGUAUCAGUACGAAGCCCUAUUCCCAAUUGGGACAUCCAGAAACCGCAACUCCACCACUAUUGCUCGAAUAGGGAAAAAACUAAUAGCUCCUCUAUUGUCUUCGCAACACGGCCAGUGCGGUUCGGGAUUCCCGAGCAAAUUUAAAGCAUGGUGAACUGCAUGACACGGAAUAUUUUUCUGGAUACUGCUCAAAAGUCCGGAUUAGAGGAAGUGCAGAACCUGUUCUCAAUCUCAGAGCAAAAAAUCGGACACUGCCGUAACCUCUGCCGAUUGACGAUUCACCAGGUUCACUGCGGGCAACCUCCGGUAAUUGGCAAGUACCACUAAACUGCAAGAAAGUAAAGGUAAAUGGCAUUCAAUUUCAACUUUUCCUUAGUAAAAGUAAAUAUACUCAA